rnacentral:rRNA from 1 species
ACGGGACAACGGUUUGGAAACGAACGCUAAUACCCGUAUUCGCCCUAAGAGGGGAAAUGUCAGCCGCUGAUAGAUGUGGCCGCGUCUGAUUAGCUUGUUGGUAAGGUAUGGCUCCCCAAUGCUUCGAUCAGUAGCUGGUCCGAGAGGAUGAUCAGCCACACUGGGACUGAGACACGGCCCACACUCCCUACUGGAGGCACGCAGUGGGGAAUUCACCGCACAACGGGCGAAAGCCUGUACGUGAGCAACCGCCGCGUGAGUGUGACGAAGGCCUCUGGGCUGUAAACCUCUUUUCUCAAUGAAGAAGAUAUUACCGUUCUCUGAGGAAUAAACCCACUGCUAAUUCCGUGCCCGCAGCCGCGGUAACUACCGGCAGUUGUGCAAAGCGUAUCCGGACUUAUUGUGCGUCAAACGUCCGCACGCGGCCUCUUUCCAGUCUGCUGUUCAAGCGCGGAGCUUAACUCCACUCAUGGCCAGUGGAAACUGAAAGGCUUGAGUAUGGUAGGGGCAGAGGGCAUUCCCGGUGCACCGGUGAGAUGCGUACAUAUCGAGAAGAACACCCGUGGCGAAACGCGCUCUGGUAGGGCACUACUGACGCUCAUGGACGAC